rnacentral:piRNA from 1 species
ACAUUACUCUGUUCAAGCUGCGU